rnacentral:rRNA from 1 species
UACAGAGGUGGCAGGCGUUGUUCGGAAUUACUGGGCGUAAAGGGCGCGUAGGCGGCCUUCUAAGUCAGACGUGAAAUCCCCAGGCUUAACUUGGGAACUGCGUCUGAUACUGGGAGGCUUGAGUGCGGGAGAGGGAUGUGGAAUUCCAGGUGUAGCGGUGAAAUGCGUAGAUAUCUGGAGGAACACCGGUGGCGAAGGCGGCAUCCUGGACCGACACUGACGCUGAGGCGCGAAAGCUAGGGGAGCAAACGGG